UACGUAGGGGGCAAGCGUUGUCCGGAAUCAUUGGGCGUAAAGCGCGUGUAGGCGGCUCGGUAAGUCUGCUCUGAAAGUCUGGGGCUCAACCCUGGGAGGCGGGUGGAUACUGCUGAGCUCGAGUCCGGAAGAGGCGAGUGGAAUUCCUGGUGUAGCGGUGAAAUGCGCAGAUAUCAGGAGGAACACCAAUGGCGAAGGCAGCUCGCUGGGACGGUACUGACGCUGAGACGCGAAAGCGUGGGGAGCAAACAGG
rnacentral:rRNA from 1 species